rnacentral:rRNA from 1 species
GGCCUACGGGAGGCAGCAGUGGGGAAUAUUGCACAAUGGGGGAAACCCUGAUGCAGCGACGCCGCGUGAGUGAAGAAGUAUUUCGGUAUGUAAAGCUCUGUCAGCAGGGAAGAAAAUGACGGUACCUGACCAAGAAGCCCCGGCUAACUACGUGCCAGCAGCCGCGGUAAUACGUAGGGGGCAAGCGUUAUCCGGAUUUACUGGGUGUAAAGGGAGCGUAGACGGCCAAGCAAGCCAGGGGUGAAAGCCCGGGGCCCAACCCCGGGACUGCCCUUGGAACUGCAUGGCUGGAGUGCGGGAGGGGG